CCUACGGGGUGCAGCAGUGGGGAAUAUUGCACAAUGGGGGAAACCCUGAUGCAGCGACGCCGCGUGAGUGAAGAAGUAUUUCGGUAUGUAAAGCUCUAUUAGCAGGGACGAAAAUGACGGUACCUGAUUAAGAAGCCCCGGCUAACUACGUGCCAGCAGCCGCGGUAAUCCGUAGGGGGCAAACGUUAUCCGGAUUUACUGGGUGUAAAGGGAGCGUAGACGGCAGCACAAGUCUGGAGGGAAAUGCCGGGGCUUAACCCCGGAACUGCAUUGGAAACUGGGAGACUUGAGUGCAGAAGAGGAGAGUGGAACUCGAUGUGUAGCGGUGAAAUGCGUAGAUAUAUGGAAGAACACCAGUGGCGAAAGCGGCUCUCUGGUCUGUAACUGACGCUGAGGUUCGAAAGCGUGGGUAGCAAACAGGAUUAGAUACCCCUGUAGUC
rnacentral:rRNA from 1 species